rnacentral:rRNA from 1 species
AGCAGCCGCGGUAAUUCCAGCUCCAAUAGCGUAUAUUAAAGUUGCUGCAGUUAAAAAGCUCGUAGUUGAAUUUCGGGAUCGAUAUAUCGGUCGUGCCUCGGUACGUACUGGUAUUUUCGGUUUCUCCCUUCUGACGAACCUUGAUGUCAUUAAUUUGGUGUCUUGGGGAAUCAGGACUGUUACUUUGAAAAAUUAGAGUGUUUAAAGCAGGCUCACGCUUGAAUACAUUAGCAUGGAAUAAUGAAAUAGGACGUUUGAUUCUAUUUUGUUGGUUUCUAGGAUUGACGUAAUGAUUAAUAGGGAUAGUUGGGGGCAUUAGUAUUCAAUUGUCAGAGGUGAAAUUCUUGGAUUUAUUGAAGACUAACUACUGCGAAAGCAUUUGCCAAGGAUGUUUUCAUUAAUCUAAGAACGAAAGUUAGGGGAUCGAAGACGAUCAGAUACCGUCGUAGU